AAAAUCAGCCUUUAUUAAUAACAAAAUGUAUUUACAUAUAAUCAAGUGAUCACACCUGCAAUGUGCAAUCAACAUAUUGGCUGCAGGGCACAUAUACUAACAACUUCAAGGGUGACCAAAGUCAUGUUUUCUGCUUAAAGGAUCCAAACCCAAUUGACAAACUAGCCAGCAAACAAACAAUCAAAACCAGAUGUGACCAUUGUUGUUGCUCUGAUAAUUUAUAAUUCCAUUUUCAAAGUUCAAAAAGUAAUGAAUUAGAAAAAAAAAAUAUUACAAUAAGAAAAAAUGGUAAGUUUUUGCAAACAAUAACAAACACGCCGAUAAAUAAGAUGUACAAACCAUCAACAUGCCUAAGCUAGCAGGUUGCAAACACCAUCCAUCAAAACAAGUAGCUUUUUUGUAUAAGAAUAGCAUCAAAAAAGGCUAACCCAAUGCUUACUACUGAAUGGUCAAAGCCAACCAUGGCAGCAAAAUGAAAUAAAGCAUGGAGGAUAAACUCAGCACAAGACACCAUAAUUGAAGUAGGAUGGUCAUCACAAUCUGCAUACACCCACGUUUCUAUUAUCCAGGAAUAAAGAAUUAGCAAAACACCUCUCAAAUCAUUACAUUGGCGAAGAAAAGAACUUGCAGCAACAAAAGUAAAAAAGAAGCAGAAAAAAUGUAAUCAAAACAUAUGUAAGGCUCAAGACAGAACAUUUAUAGGAAAAAUCAAACUAAAAGUACGACCAUGGAGCACUUAUUUUCCAGAGAAUUAACUGCAAAUUCAAUAGAAGGUAAUAGUUAGUGAUAUGAACCAAUGGCUUCCACUGCCUUAGCAAAUGGAACUCAUCUACUUCCCUGUUGCCCUUAAAGAGAAACUUCCUAAGACACAGAAUCCGUGUUAGAUAUCAAAUUACCAAUCAAACCAUCAGUUCAGAUAUAGCAAUUCAGGACUAACAGUGAUGUCAUAUUGUUACCCUUAAAAUACAUAGUAUAAUCUCCAGUAUAAUAUUAAAAUAAAGUAAAAUAACAAAGUCCCCAAAACAAUAUAUGGGGGGGAAAAGAAGAGGAGGGAGAAGAAGGGAAGAGGAUGUUGGGGGGGAUAGAAAAACCACCUUAAAUGGCUGUGUCAAGUAAAACCUUCAUCUCUUUCUACCACCACGCUCUCUCAAAGAAAGAGACAGUGCCUCUCCUGCUCCAAUGUUGUAGUAGGCAAGUGACAUAUUAUCCUUCAAGAAACCAGCUUUUCCACUCAAUUUCUGUUUGUUUGCAGGAAGUUGGAUCUCUCCAGCAAUUUUCUCUUUCAGGCUGCCAACAGUUUCAGAUAAGGACUGCAUUGUGAUCUCCAGAACUUGCCCUUUCAGAUUUCCUUCAUCAACAUUCGGAACAGAAACAGUGAUGCAUACAGGUCCCGGAUGUUGUGCAAGAAACUGAUCUUCUGGAAUAAGCAUAGAAUCAAGCUUCUGUCUCUUGGGCUCUGGUUCAUCUGGAAGUGGUGGAGGAGCAUCCUCAGGUGGAGGUGGUGGAGGCACUCCUUGAGGCAAAGGUGGUGGUGGUGGCAUCAUACCAAUUGCUGAUGAAGGGACAGGAAGAGGGACAAAAGGUCGAGGAAUUGGCACAGGAGUAAACUGAGACCCAGGUGGAGGCGGAACUGGCAUGCUCGGUGGAUUUCCAGAUAUAGAUGGAGGCAUUGGAAGGGGCUGAUUCACCAUAAUGGUCUGCUGUCCAGGUGCUAAUGGCACUGGAGCCUGAAUAGGGCGAAUUGAUGGAAUCAUUGGCAUACCUGGUGGCCUUGGUGGAGGUACAGGAAAUGCACCACUAGUUGGAGCAGAGUAUUGGAUGGUAUUUGGAGGCAUGCGAGGUAGAUUCAAUGCUAGUCCUGGUGGUGGAGGUAAGGGACGAACUGAAGGCACACCAGGUCGAGGAGGAGGAGCUGCAGGACCAGGAAGGCUCCUUGCAUCAUCGAUAACAGCUUCACUUUGAUCCUCCCCAUUAACAAUUUGAGACAUAGCUUGGUUUGCUGUACGGCCAAUGCUUCCUGUGUGACCAUCCCAUAUGACCUGCUUUGGUUGCUCAUCUUUCUUCUUCUCAAUCUCUGCCUUAACUGCAUUAGAAACUUCUUCUUCGGUUGUACCAAAGAUAUCAGGACGAGUUCGUGCAAGUCCGACAAUGUUUCUAGAGAUUUCAUCAUCCUGAGCAAGAGUUGUUUCCCGGAUUUUUGCAAACAUCCUUUCCUUUUGUUCCUUGUACUUGGGAUCGAUUAGAGAAAUCCUCAUAUGCUCAGACAUCUCAUUAAUGGGAAUUAGCUCACCGGUGAUAGGGGAAACCCCAACCUUUGUUGGGUCCCUUUCAACGGGGAUCCUUUCCUCAGGCCUCUUCCAGUUCUUCACAAUUCUCAUUGGUUCUUCUGGUUCCUCAUUAGCCUUGGUGAAUUUCUUCUCACUAUCAUUCUCUUCAAGACUCGUUGCCCUCAUUCCUUCCUCAACAAGUUGCACCUCUUCUUCAUCCAUUUCCAUUUCCACCUCCUUUCCAGGCUCAAUGAUUUCAUCUUCAACCAUGGCAGAUACCUUGCUCCUCCUUAUAACCUCCUCAAGGGUCAUAGGAGGGGGCAAGUCCUCAUCCUCAUCAUCUGCAAAGUCUAUUGUCUCGACUGCUACAAAAUCAUGCCAAUCAAUCAUGGCCAUUUGGAUCCUCUCUUGCUCAAUCUCAUCCUCAGCUUUCUGCCUUGCCUGCUCCUGCGAGUGUUCCCACUCCAAGCGAUGCAAGCACCGUUCAAGCACAGUGGUCAUAUCAGCAGCACUUUUUGUCAGCUUCUCAGUCAACCCCUUAGGAGGCAUCAACACUUUUGAGUAUGCAUCAGCCAGUCCGGUAAAAAAUGUGAACAUGCUGUGAGUUGGCUUCAAAAAGUGGAACUGAGGAUUGUUCAUCUCCCUAUUUGUCAGACCAGUCAAGAAAGCUUGGCCAUUUCGAGCCACAAACUGGGCUGUGAGCUUAAUAAUAUCAAGUUCCUCUCCAGUGAUCCCCUCAGGAAGCCGAAUGGUAUACUGCUCAGCCUCUGGGGGUUCAAGAACUUUACGAGGAGGUGGUCUAAACUGGGCUGUGGGGUCAGGCCUUGGAGCAGUGUCAGUGGCAUCAGUAACAGGAGCAGACGGGGUUGACUCAGUGGCAUCAGAAUCUGAAGGUUGUGAAGGAGGCUGCUGAGCAGAAGAUUGAUUCAGUGCACGAAAUUCAGAUAAAUGAUGUUGAUAAUAUGCAUGGUAUGGAUCUGAGGGAUUCAAAAAAUUGAACUUGGCAUUGUUAGCAUUAUUGGCAAUGAUCCUUUUUUCAAACUCAGGUCCAUUUUUUGCAACAAACUGUGCAGUUUUGUCUACAAUAUUCCUAAUAUCCGGAGGAGGAUGAAUGAUUCCAAUAGUUCUUGUGUGGGUUGCAACCGGGGCUUUGUUCUGGUCAUCACUUGCUGUUUUAUCUUCCUUAGAUGACUGCUGUUCUAACACUUGAGAAGGGGGAGCAGAGCUGUCUCCACUAGGAGGAGGUGCUGGAAGAGGCAAGAUUGCUGUGCCAGGCAUUUUUUUUUCCACCAGAAUUUCAGCAGGUAUAAGGAAAGGAAAUCAAAGCCAAAAGAACCAGAAGUUCUUCAGAUUCCUACCAUUGGAGUUCUCUGACCCAAAAUAAGAAAAACCCUGCAGAUAACAACUUCCAGAGAAAAAAUAUUUAGUUCAAGGAAAAAUAAGUGACUAUAAAAUAAAACUUCAGUUCACAUAGGCCUAAAACGGAGCCCCCAUUCUGCUGCACAACUUAGCUUAAUAUCGCAUCAACCAGCAAAGAGGAUAUUGAAUCUGAAAUGAAAAACAAAAUUCUUAAAAUCUCUGCCUUCAGAUAAAUCCAUUAACAGGGAACAAUUUAUCCUCUUCUAAUUUGUUAACCACAGAUGCUAUUGUAUUGAUUUGAUUGGUUAAAUUAAUUAAGUUAUCAAUAAAAAUAAAUAAAUAAAAUAAAACCCAUAAACCGUAAGCACAAAAAACUCCAAUCAAUUGAUAAAAAAAAAAAAAGAAUGAAACUUCAUCAAGGACUCGAACAAUGGAACAUCAAGAAAAAUCUAUAUUUAAUUGAGCAAAUCAACGGAUUAGAAAGAACUCACCAGCAGAGAAGUAGAAUUAGGCUUUUUGGAUGUGUGAGGCCGGAAAUGUCUUUGCUCUUCCCCAAUCGAAUUUUUAUGUAGAGACUAGAAAGAGAUAUCAAUUUGGUAUUUUGGUAGGGUCUGGUAACAGGUAGGGACCCGCGAAAAUAAAGGUGACCGAAUCCGAACCCGCCCCAACCGAUUAGAAUUUAUCUUCUACUAACCAUAACAAUCCCAAACACGUUUACCACUACCCGCAUACUACCCAAACCUUUUUUUUUUUUACUGAAAGUUUGAUCGUAGGAGAUGUGCGGGUCAGACACCAGAACCGAAAUGUUAAAAAAACCUUGGCAACGGAAUUUUAGAUUUUAAAAUAAUUAAAUAAAAAU
rnacentral:misc_RNA from 1 species